rnacentral:rRNA from 1 species
UACGUAGGUGGCAAGCGUUGUCCGGAAUUAUUGGGCGUAAAGCGCGCGCAGGUGGUUCCUUAAGUCUGAUGUGAAAACCCCCGGCUCAACCGGGGAGGGUCAUUGGAAACUGGGGAACUUGAGUGCAGGAGAGGAAAGUGGAAUUCCACGUGUAGCGGUGAAAUGCGUAGAUAUGUGGAGGAACACCAGUGGCGAAGGCGACUUCCUGGCCUGUUCUUGACGCUGAGGCGCGAAAGCUAGGGUAGCAAACGGG